ACGCUCGACACCUACAGGAGGCAGCAGUGGGGAAUAUUGCACAAUGGGGGAAACCCUGAUGCAGCGACGCCGCGUGAGUGAAGAAGUAAUUCGUUAUGUAAAGCUCUAUCAGCAGGGAAGAAAGUGACGGUACCUGAGUAAGAAGCCCCGGCUAACUACGUGCCCGCAGCCGCGGUAAUCUGAGCGGGCUGGCAAGGC
rnacentral:rRNA from 1 species